rnacentral:rRNA from 1 species
GCACAGAGUUAGCCGUCUCUUCCUCUUCGGGUACUAUCAACACAAAUACAGUUAAUAUCUGUGCAUUGUUCCCCAAUGACAGGAGUUUACAAUCCGAAGACCUUCAUCCUCCACGCGGCGUCGCUCGAUCAGGGUUUCCCCCAUUGUCAAAAAUUCUCGACUGCUGCCACCCGUAGGUGUCUGGGCCGUGUCUCAGUCCCAGUGUGGCUGGUCGUCCUCUCAGACCAGCUACCCGUCAAAGCCUUGGUGAGCCGUUACCUCACCAACUAGCUGAUAGGCCGCGGGCCCCACAAGAAGCGUCAGGUUGCCCCGACUUUAAUUUCGAAAGGAUGUCCUCUCUAAUCACAUGCGGUAUUAAUCCGCCUUUCGGCGAGCUGUCCCCCACUUCUUGGCAGGUUGCCCACGUGUUAAGCACCCGUUCGCCACUAAAUUUUCCAUCGUAUUGCUACAACGAAAAAUCUCGUCCGACUUGCAUGUCUUAUCCACGCCGCCAGCGUUCGUU